rnacentral:rRNA from 1 species
GACGAACGCUGGCGGCGUGCUUAACACAUGCAAGUCGAACGGAAAGGCCCUGCUUGCUGGGUACUCGAGUGGCGAACGGGUGAGUAACACGUGGGUGAUCUGCCCUGCACUUCGGGAUAAGCCUGGGAAACUGGGUCUAAUACCGGAUAUGACCUUCCAUGUAGUGUGGGGGGUGGAAAGAUUUAUCGGUGUGGGAUGAGCCCGCGGCCUAUCAGCUUGUUGGUGGGGUAAUGGCCUACCAAGGCGUCGACGGGUAGCCGGCCUGAGAGGGUGGACGGCCACAUUGGGACUGAGAUACGGCCCAGACUCCUACGGGAGGCAGCAGUGGGGAAUAUUGCACAAUGGGCGGAAGCCGUAUGCAGCGACGCCGCGUGGGGGAUGACGGCCUUCGGGUUGUAAACCUCUUUCGACAGGGACGAAGCUUCUGUGACGGUACCUGUAUAAGAAGCACCGGCUAACUACGUG